rnacentral:misc_RNA from 1 species
GGAAGUAAAAGUCUAACAAGGUUUCCGUAGGUGAACCUGCGGAAGGAUCAUUAUUGUAUAACCGAGGUGCGAGGGCUGUCGCUGACCCGAAAGGUCGUGCACGCCCGAGUGCCCUCACACACAUCCAUCUCACCCCUAUGUGCACCACCGCGUGGGUCCCCCUUUGGCUUGUUCGGAGGGGGGCUUACGUUUUCACACAAACUUUGUAUGCAGUGUAGAAUGUAUUUUUUGUUUUUGCGAUCACGCAAUCAAUACAACUUUCAACAACGGAUCUCCUGGCUCUC